rnacentral:siRNA from 1 species
AGACCCUACCACUUUGGUCAGUGG